GUAGGGGACAAGCGUUAUCCGGAUUUACUGGGCGUAAAGCGCCCGUAGGCGGCUGGACAAGUUGGACGUGAAAGCUCCCGGCUUAACUGGGAGAGGCCGUUCAAAACUGUUUAGCUAGAGUGAGGCAGAGGAGCGCGGAAUUCCCGGUGUAGUGGUGGAAUGCGUAGAUAUCGGGAGGAACACCAGUGGCGAAAGCGGCGCUCUGGGCCUAAACUGACGCUGAGGGGCGAAAGCGUGGGGAGCGAACGGGAUUAGAUACCCCGGUAGUCCACGCCGUAAACGAUGGAGACUAGGUGUAGGCGGAUAGAACCCCGUCUGUGCCGAAGCCAACGCGUUAAGUCUCCCGCCUGGGGAGUACGGCCGCAAGGUUAAA
rnacentral:rRNA from 1 species